AGUGAACGCUGGCGGCAGGCCUAACACAUGCAAGUCGAACGGCAGCACAGAGGAGCUUGCUCCUUGGGUGGCGAGUGGCGGACGGGUGAGGAAUACAUCGGAAUCUGCCUAGUCGUGGGGGAUAACGUAGGGAAACUUACGCUAAUACCGCAUACGACCUACGGGUGAAAGCGGGGAUCGCGAAGACCUCGCGCGAUUAGAUGAGCCGAUGUCCGAUUAGCUAGUUGGCGGGGUAAUGGCCCACCAAGGCGACGAUCGGUAGCUGGUCUGAGAGGAUGAUCAGCCACACUGGAACUGAGACACGGUCCAGACUCCUACGGGAGGCAGCAGUGGGGAAUAUUGGACAAUGGGCGCAAGCCUGAUCCAGCCAUGCCGCGUGGGUGAAGAAGGCCUCGGUUGUAA
rnacentral:rRNA from 1 species